AUUGAACGCUGGCGGCAGGCUUAACACAUGCAAGUCGAGCGAGUGGCGGACGGGUGAGUAAUGUCUGGGAAACUGCCUGAUGGAGGGGGAUAACUACUGGAAACGGUAGCUAAUACCGCAUACCAUCAGAUGUGCCCAGGUGGGAUUAGCUAGUUGGUGGGGUAAUGGCUCACCAAGGCGACGAUCCCUAGCUGGUCUGAGAGGAUGACCAGGCACACUGGAACUGAGGCACGGCCCAGGAGCCUUAGGGAGGCAGCAGGGGGGGAGUAUCCGAAAUGGGCGAAAGUCCUACGGAGGAACGGCGCGGGGGUUGUGACGGCCCUCGGGGUGUAAAGGUCGUUAAUCGGGACGACGGUACCGGAAGAAGAAGCAACGGCUAACUACGUGCCAGCAGCCGCGGUAAUAC
rnacentral:rRNA from 1 species